AGUUCGGAUUGAAGGCUGAAAUUCGCCUUCAUGAAGCCGGAAUUGCUAGUAAUGGCAGGUCAGCAUACUGCCGUGAAUACGUUCCCGGGCCUUGUACACACCGCCCGUCACACCAUGAGAGUUGGGGAUACCCGAAGCCUGUGAGCUAACUUAACGGAGGCAGCAGUCGAAGGUAGAAUCAAUGAUUGGGGUGAAGUCGUAACAAGGUACC
rnacentral:rRNA from 1 species